rnacentral:rRNA from 1 species
UGGGGAAUAUCGCACAAUGGGCGCAAGCCUGAUGCAGCGACGCCGCGUGGGGGAUGACGGCCUUCGGGUUGUAAACCUCUUUCAGUAUCGGCGAAGCUCCAAGGUUUCUUUGGGGUGACGGUAGGUACAGAAGAAGCACCGGCCAACUACGUGCCAGCAGCCGCGGUAAUACGUAGGGUGCGAGCGUUGUCCGGAAUUACUGGGCGUAAAAGAGCUCGUAGGUGGUUUGUCACGUUGUCCGUGAAAACUCACAGCUUAACUGUGGGCGUGCGGGCGAUACGGGCAGACUGGAGUACUGUAGGGGGAGACUGGAAUUCCUGGUGUAGCGGUGGAAUGCGCAGGAUAUCAGGAGGAACACCGGUGGCGAAGCGGGUCUCUGGGCAGUAACUGACGCUGAGGAGCGAAAGCGUGGGGAGCGAACAGGAUUAGAUACCCUGGUAGUCCACGCCGUAAACGGUGGGUACUAAGGUGUGGGUUUCCUUCCUUUAGGGGAUCCGUGCCGUAGCUAACGCAUUAAGUACCCCGCCUGGGGAGUACGGAACGCAAGGCCGUGAAAACUUAAAUGAA